CCCAGUUCUACAGUUGAUACAUGCAUUGGCUGUAGCUAAAAAGGGACGACCAAGAAUCACAGGGAUUUGUUUUUUAAGGUUGGGCACAUGUUCCAUGUCAAGGACGAUAAAAUCUACUGAAAAAUAGAAUUUGUCUACCUUGACAAGAACAUCUUCAAUCAUCCCCCUUGGCAUCUUCACCGAUCGAUCAGCCAAUUGUAAAGAUACCGAGGUAGGUUUCAAUUCACCCAACCCAAAUUUUUCAUAGACUGAAUAGGGUAGAAGAUUCACACUUGCCCCUAGAUCUAAGAGUGCUCGGUCGAUGGAGUUAUUUCCUAUGACACAG
rnacentral:lncRNA from 1 species